rnacentral:rRNA from 1 species
AACCUCCGCAAUGUGAGAAAUCGCGACGGGGGGAUCCCAAGUGCCAUUCUUAACGGGAUGGCUUUUCAUUAGUGUAAAGAGCUUUUGGAAUAAGGGCUGGGCAAGACCGGUGCCAGCCGCCGCGGUAACACCGGCAGCUCUAGUGGUAGCAGUUUUUAUUGGGCCUAAAGCGUCCGUAGCCGGUUUAAUAAGUCUCUGGUGAAAUCCUGUAGCUUAACUGUGGGAAUUGCUGGAGAUACUAUUAGACUUGAGACCGGGAGAGGUUAGAGGUACUCCCAGGGUAGAGGUGAAAUUCUGUAAUCCUGGGAGGACCGCCUGUUGCGAAGGCGUCUAACUGGAACGGUUCUGACGGUGAGGGACGAAAGUUAGGGCGCGAACCGGAUUAGAUACCCGGGUAGUCCUAACUGUAAACGAUGCGGACUUGGUGUUGGGGUGGCUUUGAGCUGCUCCAGUGCCGAAGGGAAGCUGUUAAGUCCGCCGCCUGGGAAGUACGGUCGCAAGACUGAAACUUAAAAGGAUG